GACGAACGCUGGCGGCGUGCUUAACACAUGCAAGUCGAACGGAAAGGCCCUGCUUUUGUGGGGUGCUCGAGUGGCGAACGGGUGAGUAACACGUGAGUAACCUGCCCUUGACUUUGGGAUAACUUCAGGAAACUGGGGCUAAUACCGGAUAGGAGCUCCUGCUGCAUGGUGGGGGUUGGAAAGUUUCGGCGGUUGGGGAUGGACUCGCGGCUUAUCAGCUUGUUGGUGGGGUAGUGGCUUACCAAGGCUUUGACGGGUAGCCGGCCUGAGAGGGUGACCGGCCACAUUGGGACUGAGAUACGGCCCAGACUCCUACGGGAGGCAGCAGUGGGGAAUAUUGAACAAUGGGCGGAAGCCUGAUGCAGCAACGCCGCGUGCGGGAUGACGGACUUCGGGUUGUAAACCGAUUUCGCCUGUGACGAAGCGUGAGUGACGGUAAUGGGUAAAGAAGCACCGGCUAACUACGUG
rnacentral:rRNA from 1 species